rnacentral:rRNA from 1 species
CCUCGGGGGGCAGCAGUGGGGAAUAUUGGACAAUGGGGGGAACCCUGAUCCAGCCAUGCCGCGUGUGUGAAGAAGGCCCUCGGGUUGUAAAGCACUUUCAGUGAGGAAGAACGCCUGGUGGUUAAUACCCAUCAGGAAAGACAUCACUCACAGAAGAAGCACCGGCUAACUCCGUGCCAGCAGCCGCGGUAAUACGGAGGGUGCGAGCGUUAAUCGGAAUUACUGGGCGUAAAGCGCGCGUAGGUGGCUUGAUAAGCCGGUUGUGAAAGCCCCGGGCUCAACCUGGGAACGGCAUCCGGAACUGUCAAGCUAGAGUGCAGGAGAGGAAGGUAGAAUUCCCGGUGUAGCGGUGAAAUGCGUAGAGAUCGGGAGGAAUACCAGUGGCGAAGGCGGCCUUCUGGACUGACACUGACACUGAGGUGCGAAAGCGUGGGUAGCAAACAGGAUUAGAUACCCUUGUAGUC